AAGGUUUUUGUUCAGGCCGUGACGGAUGUUGUCCCCAUCGAGGGAGUAGCAGGGGAUGGCGUGGGCGACGAGGUACUCCUCCAGGGCGAAGCUUAUCGUCGUUUUUCCGGCACCAGACAGACCUGUUCAGAACAGGAAAGAAAGUCAGAAGAUCUGGUAAGUGUUUUCGUAUGAAAGUCAGAAGAUCUGGUGAGUGUUUUCGUAUGUCCUCCUGACAGCAGUCAGCCUGGGUGCAGGGAACAGCCGCCCCUGGAGACAGGGAGGCCUAUCUCCCUGUGGAUGCCACUAAAACAGCCACCUGACAAGAGAGUCCUUUUUUGGCUUCAAGAUUUUUCCAAAAUAACUCUCAAAACAUGAAGACAGAGAGUCAUCCUGAGCUAGGUUACAGAUACACUUCGAGCUUUCAUACACUUUUAGGUGUCUGGAGUCUUUCUUUACAUGAGAACAGUUACCAUGUGCCUUCUGGGAACACACAUUUUCAUUUCUAUACGAGGGAGAGCAUGAAGAGAAAGUGAAAGAUAGGCAAACUGCCAAGAUUACUUAAGAGCUCAAAAUCUGAACUGCAGUGGAAAAGCAGCCCUCUAAAAAUUCAGUUGUCCUAAAGAUCUCUGAACCUGAAGAAUAUGCCAUUGUGCCAAGCCACUGCCAAGCAGCGCCCAAGCGUACAGACGAAAAGUUAAGGGGCAAGAAAAGAAAGUCAAGAAGUUAAUACAGAGAAAAGAGCAGGAGAAAAGAGGAAAAAGAUGGAAAAAUUCAGAGAUAGCAGGAACGAAGAAGGACAGAGAGGAUCUAUAAAAGAGUGUUCCACAUUAGAAAAAAAUGGAUUCUCUGUGUAUAUCCCAAUACAAAAGUUGGACAAACACACAAAGGCAAACAUCUCAU